UUUUUCCAAAAGAAAAUGAUGAUCAAAAUCAUGCUACAGAUAUAUCACAAGAACACCAAGUUUAAAAAGCCUAUAAAACUGAAAGUCACCAUUAACAGAACAUAAUUCAACCAUAUAAACUUCAAAAACAACAUAAAAACCUAACCUUGAUUAAAACUGGAAACAUGGUAGCAAACAAAAACAAAAUCCUAAUCUUGAAAUUCUAAUAAAAAAUCCAGUAUCUCACUAAUCCUUCAAUAAGGUCUAGUUUCAUGAAAUUCUCUUAUAAACUUAGCAUUAUUCUUAAUCAUUAAACCAAAAGCACUAAACAAACACACUUAAUUUCACUAACACUUCAUGUAAACACUCUACAAACAUGGCAACAGAAUACAAUUAACUAAUUAAGUAUCAAAUUAUACCUCGGAGCCACUAAUCUGAUGCUGAACAACCGAAAUAGACCGCCUAUUCCUCAAUCACUAUCCGAAACAACCCUUGCUGCACUACCAACAUCAUCACCGUAAUUUCUCUUAGACACAGACCUCCCACGCCUCUUAGAACAAAUUCACACUAUCACCACCACCAGAAACAACAACCGAAUUACCACCAUUCAGACACCUCGAAACGGACCUCGGAUAAAUGGCUUAAUAUGUUAUAUUGAUUUAAGCUUCCUUUUCUCCGAUUGGCAUAUGCUCAUUUAGACCUUGUUAUAUCGCAUCGAAUAAAUGGCUUAUUAUAUUGAAUUUUGGAGACUGGGUAGCUUUGUUGAAACACAGAACAUGGUUGGGGAAGGAGAAAUGGAGGGGGUAAAGAAGUGA
rnacentral:lncRNA from 1 species